UACGGGGGGGGCAAGCGUUGUUCGGAAUUACUGGGCGUAAAGGGCUCGUAGGCGGCCAACUAAGUCAGACGUGAAAUCCCUCGGCUUAACCGGGGAACGGCCUCUGAUACUGGCUGGCUAGAGUCCGGAAGAGGAGAGUGGAAUUCCUGGUGUAGCGGUGAAAUGCGCAGAUAUCAGGAAGAACACCCGUGGCGAAGGCGGCUCUCUGGGACGGUACUGACGCUGAGUGAGCGAAAGCCAGGGGAGCAAACGGG
rnacentral:rRNA from 1 species